GGGUUGUGAGGUUAAGCGACUAAGCGUACACGGUGGAUGCCCUGGCAGUCAGAGGCGAUGAAGGACGUGCUAAUCUGCGAUAAGCGUCGGUAAGGUGAUAUGAACCGUUAUAACCGGCGAUUUCCGAAUGGGGAAACCCAGUGUGUUUCGACACACUAUCAUUAACUGAAUCCAUAGGUUAAUGAGGCGAACCGGGGGAACUGAAACAUCUAAGUACCCCGAGGAAAAGAAAUCAACCGAGAUUCCCCCAGUAGCGGCGAGCGAACGGGGAGGAGCCCAGAGCCUGAAUCAGUGUGUGUGUUAGUGGAAGCGUCUGGAAAGGCGCGCGAUACAGGGUGACAGCCCCGUACACAAAAAUGCACAUACUGUGAGCUCGAUGAGUAGGGCGGGACACGUGGUAUCCUGUCUGAAUAUGGGGGGACCAUCCUCCAAGGCUAAAUACUCCUGACUGACCGAUAGUGAACCAGUACCGUGAGGGAAAGGCGAAAAGAACCCCGGCGAGGGGAGUGAAAAAGAACCUGAAACCGUGUACGUACAAGCAGUGGGAGCCUCUUUAUGGGGUGACUGCGUACCUUUUGUAUAAUGGGUCAGCGACUUAUAUUCUGUAGCAAGGUUAACCGAAUAGGGGAGCCGAAGGGAAACCGAGUCUUAACUGGGCGUUAAGUUGCAGGGUAUAGACCCGAAACCCGGUGAUCUAGCCAUGGGCAGGUUGAAGGUUGGGUAACACUAACUGGAGGACCGAACCGACUAAUGUUGAAAAAUUAGCGGAUGACUUGUGGCUGGGGGUGAAAGGCCAAUCAAACCGGGAGAUAGCUGGUUCUCCCCGAAAGCUAUUUAGGUAGCGCCUCGUGAAUUCAUCUCCGGGGGUAGAGCACUGUUUCGGCAAGGGGGUCAUCCCGACUUACCAACCCGAUGCAAACUGCGAAUACCGGAGAAUGUUAUCACGGGAGACACACGGCGGGUGCUAACGUCCGUCGUGAAGAGGGAAACAACCCAGACCGCCAGCUAAGGUCCCAAAGUCAUGGUUAAGUGGGAAACGAUGUGGGAAGGCCCAGACAGCCAGGAUGUUGGCUUAGAAGCAGCCAUCAUUUAAAGAAAGCGUAAUAGCUCACUGGUCGAGUCGGCCUGCGCGGAAGAUGUAACGGGGCUAAACCAUGCACCGAAGCUGCGGCAGCGACGCUUAUGCGUUGUUGGGUAGGGGAGCGUUCUGUAAGCCUGCGAAGGUGUGCUGUGAGGCAUGCUGGAGGUAUCAGAAGUGCGAAUGCUGACAUAAGUAACGAUAAAGCGGGUGAAAAGCCCGCUCGCCGGAAGACCAAGGGUUCCUGUCCAACGUUAAUCGGGGCAGGGUGAGUCGACCCCUAAGGCGAGGCCGAAAGGCGUAGUCGAUGGGAAACAGGUUAAUAUUCCUGUACUUGGUGUUACUGCGAAGGGGGGACGGAGAAGGCUAUGUUGGCCGGGCGACGGUUGUCCCGGUUUAAGCGUGUAGGCUGGUUUUCCAGGCAAAUCCGGAAAAUCAAGGCUGAGGCGUGAUGACGAGGCACUACGGUGCUGAAGCAACAAAUGCCCUGCUUCCGGAAAGCCUCUAAGCAUCAGGUAACAUCAAAUCGUACCCCAAACCGACACAGGUGGUCAGGUAGAGAAUACCAAGGCGCUUGAGAGAACUCGGGUGAAGGAACUAGGCAAAAUGGUGCCGUAACUUCGGGAGAAGGCACGCUGAUAUGUAGGUGAAGCGACUUGCUCGUGGAGCUGAAAUCAGUCGAAGAUACCAGCUGGCUGCAACUGUUUAUUAAAAACACAGCACUGUGCAAACACGAAAGUGGACGUAUACGGUGUGACGCCUGCCCGGUGCCGGAAGGUUAAUUGAUGGGGUUAGCGGUAACGCGAAGCUCUUGAUCGAAGCCCCGGUAAACGGCGGCCGUAACUAUAACGGUCCUAAGGUAGCGAAAUUCCUUGUCGGGUAAGUUCCGACCUGCACGAAUGGCGUAAUGAUGGCCAGGCUGUCUCCACCCGAGACUCAGUGAAAUUGAACUCGCUGUGAAGAUGCAGUGUACCCGCGGCAAGACGGAAAGACCCCGUGAACCUUUACUAUAGCUUGACACUGAACAUUGAGCCUUGAUGUGUAGGAUAGGUGGGAGGCUUUGAAGUGUGGACGCCAGUCUGCAUGGAGCCGGCCUUGAAAUACCACCCUUUAAUGUUUGAUGUUCUAACGUUGGCCCCUGAUCGGGGUUGCGGACAGUGUCUGGUGGGUAGUUUGACUGGGGCGGUCUCCUCCUAAAGAGUAACGGAGGAGCACGAAGGUUGGCUAAUCCUGGUCGGACAUCAGGAGGUUAGUGCAAUGGCAUAAGCCAGCUUGACUGCGAGCGUGACGGCGCGAGCAGGUGCGAAAGCAGGUCAUAGUGAUCCGGUGGUUCUGAAUGGAAGGGCCAUCGCUCAACGGAUAAAAGGUACUCCGGGGAUAACAGGCUGAUACCGCCCAAGAGUUCAUAUCGACGGCGGUGUUUGGCACCUCGAUGUCGGCUCAUCACAUCCUGGGGCUGAAGUAGGUCCCAAGGGUAUGGCUGUUCGCCAUUUAAAGUGGUACGCGAGCUGGGUUUAGAACGUCGUGAGACAGUUCGGUCCCUAUCUGCCGUGGGCGCUGGAGAACUGAGGGGGGCUGCUCCUAGUACGAGAGGACCGGAGUGGACGCAUCACUGGUGUUCGGGUUGUCAUGCCAAUGGCACUGCCCGGUAGCUAAAUGCGGAAGAGAUAAGUGCUGAAAGCAUCUAAGCACGAAACUUGCCCCGAGAUGAGUUCUCCCUGAGACUUUAAGUCUCCUGAAGGAACGUUGAAGACGACGACGUUGAUAGGCCGGGUGUGUAAGCGCAGCGAUGCGUUGAGCUAACCGGUACUAAUGAACCGUGAGGCUUAACCUUACAACGCCGAAG
rnacentral:rRNA from 1 species